UCAUCCAUCCAAAGCUAAAUUCAAGUUUAAAUCCUUUCUUCUCCUAUUAACUGUCUUUAGAAAAGUGGCAAUAACAAAUGGGAGAACAUCUCACUCUAGGCUAAUGGAAGUCUGGUGCCUCAUUCAUAUGCUUUCUCAGUAGACACACAGCCAAGGCAAGUUUUUAAAAAAAAUACUUUGAGGAGCAGGAACAUGUCUGCAGUGGAAUGAAUGCUGGAAGAACCUCUGCAUCUGGGAUGAAAGGGGCAAGUUGCUAUCCAUCAAGGGUUGAGAAGUCUGCUGUAGCUGCUGGAGAAGAGGCCUGAACAUCUCCAAUCAGCUCUUCUGUUGCUGGCUUUGGGACUCCUUGUGAGCAGACUGCAGCCCCAGGCCCUUUAAAGUUGGGUGUGACUCAGGACUUCCAAGGGGGAGUGUAGCUAUAAAGCUGAGUCCAUAAGGCCUGGGUGGACUUCAAUUUUAAUCUGUUACAUGUAUUUGUAGAAUAUUAUCUCUGGGUGGAUACUGGUCACUCUGGGACUGUUACAACAGCUGGUGUUGAGAAGGACUAGGUAGCAGUGAGAGGGCUACCAAGAACUAUCUAGUUGACUACAAAGCAGUCCCCUGGAGCUGCUUUUAGGGGGCUGCUGGACUAAUUGGAUGUCUAUCCCUACCCAACGGUCAAGAAAUGGUUGCACUUUGUCCUCUGCCCCAAAGCACUUUACAGCUAUGCUAUGGUACUUUAGUUCAAUUUGGCCCCUCCAAAAACCUGGUGGUUCAUUUUAUUUUAUUUCAUUUUAUUUUUAUUCACUUUAUGUUUUUAAUGGGCUUUUAUGGUUAAUGUAAUUUACUGUUUGCAUAAUGUCGAUUUUACUGUGUUUUAUUCAUUGUAAUAUGUUUUUAAUUGUUGUACUUGUUUACUGUUUUCGGGCCUCUGUCCCAUGUUAGCAGCCCCGAGUCCCUGCAAGGGGAUGGUGGGGGGAUAGAAAAAUAAAGUUACUUACUUACUUACUAAUUGGCCUGAUUGACUGGGAAUACACCCAUUGACUGUGUGUUAAGUGUUGUUAU